UACGUAGGUGGCAAGCGUUGUCCGGAUUUACUGGGCGUAAAGAGCGCGCAGGCGGUCUUGUAAGUCGAGUGUGAAAGCCCACGGCUCAACCGUGGAGGGUCAUUGGAAACUGGGGAACUUGAGUGCAGAAGAGAAGAGCGGAAUUCCACGUGUAGCGGUGAAAUGCGUAGAGAUGUGGAGGAACACCAGUGGCGAAGGCGGCUCUUUGGUCUGUAACUGACGCUGAGGCGCGAAAGCUAGGGGAGCAAACAGG
rnacentral:rRNA from 1 species